CUCGGUUGUAUUCGAUCAUGUUUGUGUUGUUUUGUUAAAAUGGGCGUUUGGUGCGAAUUUUAUGUCGCAUUUGGUUCUUCGUCGUUCGUUCCGUUACAAGAAUGCUGGGGUAUGUAAACUUGAAGAAAAAGACGCAGACGGACAUGGAGAGGCAGACCAAGCAAAAUGUGCGUUUCUCUUUGUGAUGAACAGUAAUUCUGGAGCGUAGGAAUAUGCAUUCAACUUCUGGCUAUGGUAAAAGUAAAACUCGAAGUAUCGGACAAGAAACUCAAACCUAUUCGAUGAGAAACUCAGGCUAUCAGACGAGGAACCCGAACUAUCCGACAAGAUGCAGUUUCUUGUACCAUACACGAAGAAAAAUUUAGUUGAUGGUACUACAGUUGUCGUAGAAUUGCCUUGCUGGUACUAAAAAGAUGCCAAUAACCAGAGGGGCACUGGUAACCAAUCGAAUUUGCUCAUCAGAGGUGUUCUGGAUCCCUUAUGUCAACACAGUAAUCAACUGUUCUCGACAAGCUGACGACACUUGCUGCUUCUACCAGAUGAAGCCAGUGGCGGAAGAAGGGACCCGAUGCCUGGAGUAACUUUGCAGUAUAACAUUUUGCAUUGUUCGAUUGGUCAAGAUAGAGUGGUUUUAGUGGAAUUCAGCACUUGAUGGUCAUAUCGUCUGUAUUUGCAUGUCCUGGUGAUGGUAGAGAGCUCUUCCACACCUCGUGCACAUAUCAGAAUCCGCGAGGUUUAAAACGACAGGAAGACAGUGUUUUACAUUGUUGAAAGACAAAAGAAAAAGAAUCGAUUCCAGAACGUGCCGUCCUGUGUUUGUUGUUUUCGACAGUUGAGGGGAGAGUCCGGUGCAUGCCAGAUACUAUCUAUUGAUUUCAAACACUCUAUUGAGAAAUAUAUGCAGAAGAAAGAACCAAGUAUGAUAAAUCCACGACAGACCUAGCACAAGCAUAUAGCAUGACACCACUACAGCCUUCAUGACAAAAGCAUAGUUAAACAAAUUAGGCAUAAGCUAACAUGUAUACAUAUAAUUAUACCCCAACUUACAAAGUAUGUUGGGUUAUGUUGGAGUGACGUAUGUCUAGUCCAUCCGUCCGUCCGUUCAUUUGUCCACCAUGGCCGCUGGGAUGAUUUUCAUAAAACUGACAUAAAUUAUAAACCACAUCAAGACGAUGUACAGAGGGCUCAACCUAGGUCACAAGGCCCAAGGUCAAGGUUACUCGUGGAGGUCAAAGGUCAAAUACCUUAGCUUCAUGUCCGCUCUAUAUUGUCUAAACGGCUUUGAAAAUAUUUAGCUUGACUGUUUGAAGAAUAAGGAGGAUUACUGUACUUUCCUUGGCGUCCGUGUCACUGUCACCGUUGCAUUGAGAGACCGCUUCUCAGUGUCACUAUAUAUCUUCUUACUACCGCCUUUAUUAACAUCAAACUUUACAUAAGUCUUGGUCUUGGUAAGAGAAAGACAUCUACAUGUAUUAGUUUAGAAACAAGUAUCCUUAAUAUCGAAGUCACUGGCUUAAAUAUUGUGAUAGUGCUGGUUAAAGUUUCAUGAUAAGCUACUCAAUUUCACAAUAUAACCUAACAUAAGGAUUGAUCUUAGAACAUAGCAGAAUUCUUUUUGUUUAGGGUCAGGUUGCUCAAAGGUCAAGGUUACUGGGGUCCGAUUUUGUAACAGUGUUGGUUAAAGUCUUACGGCACAUUUCUCAAUUUGACUUAUAUCUCAUAACUUUUCUUAGAACUGGUAUCCCUCAUGUCCUAUCCUUUUUAGCUAUACCCACACUUCAUAUACGUUCCUCCCGGCACCCACCCAAAAAUGCGUUCCAUACAAAAACUUAUAUUUCUUGUUUCCAUCAACUCCCCUACUCCGCUGUCUUCACCUACCACCUCCACCCCAUUUCACCAAACCUUUACCCUCGCCCCUAACCCCUGCCAUAAAAAGGAUAAAAAUACCCCUUUUCGAUCUCCCACACAUACUUCUAAUAAUAACAAUAUCUUGUUAAACAUUUUUCUUAUAGUCGAGCAGAAACAAUUAACUCAGAUCACUAGGUCCAAGGUCAAGGUCACACCUAAAAAUCAAAAGUCAUGAUGACAACAUUUUACCUUCCCCUUUAUCAAAGUGAGGUCUGGGGGUAUUAAUCGACUUCAGUGAUGACCUCAGUUGAUCAGGUGUAAGUGGCAUAAAUGUGUAACAUUUGCUUUAUUGGGUGUGGGGGUGGGGGUGUAUAGGAAUGGUCUCCGUCUGUCCGUCCGUCUGCCUGUCCGUAACACUUUCGUGUCCGGUCAUAUC
rnacentral:lncRNA from 1 species